rnacentral:rRNA from 1 species
UACGUAGGGGGCAAGCGUUGUCCGGAUUUAUUGGGCGUAAAGAGCGUGUAGGCGGCCGUACAGGUCAGCUGUGAAAACUCGAGGCUCAACCUCGAGACGCCGAUGGAAACCAUCUGACUAGAGUCCGGAAGAGGAGAGUGGAAUUCCUGGUGUAGCGGUGAAAUGCGCAGAUAUCAGGAAGAACACCCGUGGCUAAGGCGGCUCUCUAGUACGGUACUGACGCUGAGACGCGAAAGCGUGGGGAGCGAACAGG